CGACGAGUGGCGAACGGGUGAGUAAUACAUCGGAACGUGUCCGCUCGUGGGGGACAACCAGCCGAAAGGUUGGCUAAUACCGCAUGAGUUCUACGGAAGAAAGAGGGGGACCCGCAAGGGCCUCUCGCGAGCGGAGCGGCCGAUGACUGAUUAGCCGGUUGGUGAGGUAACGGCUCACCAAAGCAACGAUCAGUAGCUGGUCUGAGAGGACGACCAGCCACACUGGGACUGAGACACGGCCCAGACUCCUACGGGAGGCAGCAGUGGGGAAUUUUGGACAAUGGGCGCAAGCCUGAUCCAGCUAUUCCGCGUGUGGGAUGAAGGCCCUCGGGUUGUAAACCACUUUUGUAGAGAACGAAAAGACACCUUCGAAUAAAGGGUGUUGCUGACGGUACUCUAAGAAUAAGCACCGGCUAACUACGUGCCAGCAGCCGCGGUAAUACGUAGGGUGCGAGCGUUAAUCGGAAUUACUGGGCGUAAAGGGUGCGCAGGCGGUUGAGUAAGACAGAUGUGAAAUCCCCGAGCUUAACUCGGGAAUGGCAUAUGUGACUGCUCGACUAGAGUGUGUCAGAGGGAGGUGGAAUUCCACGUGUAGCAGUGAAAUGCGUAGAUAUGUGGAAGAACACCGAUGGCGAAGGCAGCCUCCUGGGACAUAACUGACGCUCAGGCACGAAAGCGUGGGGAGCAAACAGGAUUAGAUACCCUGGUAGUCCACGCCCUAAACGAUGUUAACUAGUUGUUGGGAAGUAAAAUUCUCAGUAACGCAGCCAACGCGAGAAGUUAACCGCCUGGGAAGUACGGUCGCAAGACUAAAACUCAAAGGAAUUGACGGGGACCCGCACAAGCGGUGGAUGAUGUGGAUUAAUUCGAUGCAACGCGAAAAACCUUACCUACCCUUGACAUGUCAGGAAGCUCUUGUAAUGAGAGUGUGCCCGCAAGGGAGCCUGAACACAGGUGCUGCAUGGCUGUCGUCAGCUCGUGUCGUG
rnacentral:rRNA from 1 species